GAGUAACAUCAACUGGAGGACCGAACCCACAUCCUUUGAAAAGGCUGGGGAUGACUUGUGGAUAGGAGUGAAAGGCUAAUCAAGCUCGGAGAUAGCUGGUUCUCCUCGAAAGCUAUUUAGGUAGCGCCUCGUAUCUCACCAUUGGGGGUAGAGCACUGUUUGGGCUAGGGGGUCAUCCCGACUUACCAACCCGAGGCAAACUCCGAAUACCAGUGAGUGCAGCGUGGGAGACACACAGCGGGUGCUAACGUCCGUUGUGAAAAGGGAAACAACCCAGACCGUCAGCUAAGGUCCCAAAGUUACAGUUAAGUGGGAAACGAUGUGGGAAGGCUCAGACAGCUAGGAGGUUGGCUUAGAAGCAGCCA
rnacentral:rRNA from 1 species